rnacentral:rRNA from 1 species
UACGGAGGGUGCAAGCGUUAUCCGGAUUCACUGGGUUUAAAGGGUGCGUAGGUGGGUUGGUAAGUCAGUGGUGAAAUCCCCGAGCUUAACUUGGGAACUGCCAUUGAUACUAUCAGUCUUGAAUACCGUGGAGGUCGGCGGAAUAUGUCAUGUAGCGGUGAAAUGCUUAGAUAUGACAUAGAACACCAAUUGCGAAGGCAGCUUACUACAGGGAUAUUGACACUGAGGCACGAAAGCGUGGGGAUCAAACAGG